rnacentral:lncRNA from 1 species
GGUACAGAGUCAGUGUGGAGGUUAUAUACAGGGGGUACCGGUACAGAGUCAGUGUGGAGGUUAUAUACAGGGGGUACCGGUACAGAGUCAGUGUGGAGGUUAUAUACAGGGGGUACCGGUACAGAGUCAGUGUGGAGGCUAUAUACAGGGGGUACAGGUACCGAGUCAGUGUGGAGGUUAUAUACAGGGGGUACCGGUACAGAGUCAGUGUGGAGGCUAUAUACAGGGGGUACCGGUACAGAGUCAGUGUGGAGGCUAUAUACAGGGGGUACCGGUACAGAGUCAAUGUGGAGACUAUAUACAGGGGGUACCGGUACAGAGACAAUGUGGAGGCUAUAUACAGGGGGUACCGGUACCGAGUCAGUGUGGAGGCUAUAUACAGGGUGUACCGGUACAGAGUCAAUGUGGAGGCUAUAUACAGGGGGUACCGGUACAG